UUUGUGACUGUUUGUGUGAACCCAAUGCAAAGAGGAGAAAAAACUUAAAAUUAGGACCUUACCUAUUCUUAAUGGAGUUCAAGAGCAACUAGGCCUCCUGCCUUUAGAAUGCUAAACUUGUUGAAGAGCAACUAGGCCUCAUGCCUUUAGAAUGCUAAAUCUUGAAGGUUGAUUUGAAAGGACCCCUAAUCUAAACUCACUCUUAUCCAUUCCUCUUAUUGCAUUGUGAACUUCUUGAUUAUUUGUUAUUGUGUGAUAGGGAUUUCAAAGUUGAGAUAGUAAGAGGGACCAUUGUCAUGAAUAGCCAAGCUAAGAAAGACAAGCCAAGUGGAGACCCUAGGAGCUUGAAUGUUUAAUUGUUUUGAUUGCUUGUUGCUUGCUAAGUCCAAAGGAAAGGAGCAUCUUGAAUCAUCUUUAUGAUCUCAAGAAAGGAACUCCAAG
rnacentral:lncRNA from 1 species